UACGAAGGGGGCUAGCGUUGCUCGGAAUCACUGGGCGUAAAGGGUGCGUAGGCGGGUCUUUAAGUCAGGGGUGAAAUCCUGGAGCUCAACUCCAGAACUGCCUUUGAUACUGGCGACCUUGAGUCCGGGAGAGGUGAGUGGAACUGCGAGUGUAGAGGUGAAAUUCGUAGAUAUUCGCAAGAACACCAGUGGCGAAGGCGGCUCACUGGCCCGGUACUGACGCUGAGACGCGCAAAGCGUCGG
rnacentral:rRNA from 1 species